rnacentral:rRNA from 1 species
GACGAACGCUGGCGGCGUGCUUAACACAUGCAAGUCGAACGGAAAGGCCCUGCUUUUGUGGGGUGCUCGAGUGGCGAACGGGUGAGUAACACGUGAGUAACCUGCCCUUGACUUUGGGAUAACUUCAGGAAACUGGGGCUAAUACCGGAUAGGAGCUCCUGCUGCAUGGUGGGGGUUGGAAAGUUUCGGCGGUUGGGGAUGGACUCGCGGCUUAUCAGCUUGUUGGUGGGGUAGUGGCUUACCAAGGCUUUGACGGGUAGCCGGCCUGAGAGGGUGACCGGCCACAUUGGGACGGAGAUACGGCCCAGACUCCUACGGGAGGCAGCAGUGGGGAAUAAUGCACAAUGGGCGGAAGCCUGAUGCAGCAACGCCGCGUGCGGGAUGACGGCCUUCGGGUGGUAAACCGCUUUCGCCUGUGACGAAGCGUGAGUGACGGUAAUGGGUAAAGAAGCACCGGCUAACUACGU